ACUGCUCAGUAACACGUGGCUAAUCUGCCCUUGGGACCGGAACACCCCCGGGAAACUGGGGCUAAUUCUCGAUAGGUGAAGAACUCUGGAACGAGUCUUUGCUUAAAAGACGUUUGCGUUAUGCUCGUAGGCGUCGCCCAAGGAUGAGGCCGCGACCGAUCAGGUUGUUGGUGAGGUAAUGGCUCACCAAGCCUUUUACCGGUGCGGGCCGUGAGAGCGGGAGCCCGGAGAUGGGCACUGAGACAAGGGCCCAGGCCCUACGGGGCGCAGCAGUCGCGAAAACUUUGCAAUACACGAAAGUGUGACAGGGCUAUCCCGAGUGCCAUCCGCUGAGGAAGGCUUUUACCCAGUCUAGAACGCUGGGGGAAUAAGGAGAGGGCAAGUCUGGUGUCAGCCGCCGCGGUAAUACCAGCUCUUCGAGUGGUGUGGAUGUUUAUUGGGCCUAAAGCAUCCGUAGCUGGCUAAGUUAGUCCCUUGUUAAAUCCAACGAAUUAAUCGUUGGAUUGCGGGGGAUACUGCUUGGCUAGGGGACGAGAGAGGCAGACGGUAUUUUCGGGGUAGGGGUGAAAUCCUAUAAUCCCGGGAAGACCACCAGUGGCGAAGGCUGUCUGCUAGAACGCGCCCGACGGUGAGGGAUGAAAGCUGGGGGAGCGAACCGGAUUAGAUACCCGGGUAGUCCCAGCUGUAAACGAUGCAGGCUAGGUGUUUGGACGGCCACGUGCCGUUCUAGUGCCGCAGGGAAGCUGUUAAGCCUGCCGCCUGGGGAGUACGGUCGCAAGGCUGAAACUUAAAGGAAUUGGCGGGGGAGCAC
rnacentral:rRNA from 1 species